UAGGGAAUAUUGCGCAAUGGGCGAAAGCCUGACGCAGCGACGCCGCGUGAGGGACGAAGGCCUUCGGGUUGUAAACCUCUUUCAGCAGGGACGAAGCGAAAGUGACGGUACCUGCAGACGAAGCACCGGCCAAAUACGUGCCAGCAGCCGCGGUAAUACGUAGGGUGCAAGCGUUGUCCGGAAUUAUUGGGCGUAAAGAGCUCGUAGGCGGUCUGUCGCGUCGGCUGUGAAAACCGGAGGCUCAACCUCCGGCCUGCAGUCGAUACGGGCAGACUAGAGUUCGGUAGGGGAGACUGGAAUUCCUGGUGUAGCGGUGAAAUGCGCAGAUAUCAGGAGGAACACCGGUGGCGAAGGCGGGUCUCUGGGCCGAAACUGACGCUGAGGAGCGAAAGCAUGGGGAGCAAAC
rnacentral:rRNA from 1 species